GUGCUAUUAUGCUUAAGGAAGCACACAAUGUACUUCACAACACAGGACAAGCUGGACAAGUGUCAAAAUCUCCAAGAAAAUAAACUGUGAAAACUUAUAUGUAUUUAACUAUGAAUUAAGUACAUGAAAACUGACCAGUUUUUGCUCUUUUUCUUCCAGUUCACCUCCAUGUGGCAUCUCAGGAAGAGGAAGAUAUUUUCCCAAGAGAAGGCAAAAGUUGGAUUGUCCUGCAAGUACAGAGAGAGUCAUUGUUGACAAGGUGUAACAGCAACGCAAACAUCUUGUUGACCAGCCCAGCUUGGCUUUGACGGCUUCACUGAGAAAGGACAAAGUGUGAUCAAGAUACCAAUAUUAAGUGAUAUUUCUAGGAAAGGAAUUGCUGAAUUUUUAAGGCUUAUGAUAGAUAUUGCCAAAUUGUUCUCUAGAGGGUUUAUGUCUCAAGAUACUCACAAAACCACCUACCCUUUGAUUUGAAGUGUCUUGGAAAUUCUACCCUGUGAGAGAAGCUUUCUCAGAAAGAUACAACCAAAAGGACAUUCAUACACCAACAGAGGACAUAUAUGCAUCACAACAGAUGUCUGAGAGACCCACGCAGCCACACGCUUGAAGAUGGUGGUGGAGCUGGAUCCUCUGGAGGAAGUGGAAGUUGAUCUCCAGAAGCUCCAUGGAGAGAGAUGGGCCAUGGUGGUGGCAAGUGCACAGGUGAAAAGGGCACCCCAUCCCCGCCUGGUACUCGAGCCCCAGAAUCGUCCAGAGCACAGUGCAGUGAGCAUUGUAGUAGCAGCAGGGAAAGUUUGCAGCCCCAGGAUCGCCCAGUUCACAGUGUGGAGAAUGUGGCAGCAGUGAAGGGGAAAGUGCACAGGAGAGAGAGGUGCCCCAUCCACGCCCAGCACUCCAGCCUUAGGAUCAGCCGGAGUAUGGCCCAGAGAGCUUGGCAGUGGGAGCAGGGAAAGUGCUCAAACCCAGAAUCAUCUGGAGCAUGGUGCAGAGAGCGUGGCAGAG
rnacentral:lncRNA from 1 species